GGGUGGUGAGCUCAAUAGUUAGAGCACUGUGGUGACAACGAAGGGGUCAGUGGUUCGAGCCCACUACCGCCCA
rnacentral:tRNA from 1 species